rnacentral:rRNA from 1 species
UACGUAGGGUGCGAGCGUUAAUCGGAAUUACUGGGCGUAAAGCGUGCGCAGGCGGUUUUGUAAGCCAGAUGUGAAAUCCCCGGGCUUAACCUGGGAAUGGCAUUUGGGACUGCAAGGCUGGAGUGUGGCAGAGGAGACUGGAAUUCCUGGUGUAGCAGUGAAAUGCGUAGAUAUCAGGAGGAACACCAAUGGCGAAGGCAGCUCGCUGGAACGGUACUGACGCUGAGGCGCGAAAGCGUGGGGAGCGAACAGG